rnacentral:rRNA from 1 species
GACGAACGCUGGCGGCGUGCUUAACACAUGCAAGUCGAACGGAAAGGCCCUGCUUGCAGGGUGCUCGAGUGGCGAACGGGUGAGUAACACGUGGGUGAUCUGCCCCUUACUUUGGGAUAAGCCUGGGAAACUGGGUCUAAUACUGGAUAGGACCAUGCUGUAGGUGGUGUGGUGGAAAGAUUAGUUUCGGUAAGGGAUGAGCUCGCGGCCUAUCAGCUUGUUGGUGGGGUAAUGGCCUACCAAGGCGUCGACGGGUAGCCGGCCUGAGAGGGUGGACGGCCACAUUGGGACUGAGAUACGGCCCAGACUCCUACGGGAGGCAGCAGUGGGGAACAUUGCACAAUGGGCGCAAGCCUGAUGCAGCGACGCCGCGUGGGGGAUGACGGCCUUCGGGUUGUAAACUCCUUUCAGCCAUGACGAAGCCCUUGUGGUGACGGUAGUGGUAGAAGAAGCACCGGCUAACUACGUG